GUAGGUGAACCUGCGGAAGGAUCAUUAGCCUAUAUCAUCGGGGGGCCGGCCUUGGAAAAGCGCACCCAUGUGGUGUUGGCGUAGCUGCCAUUCACGCUUUUCCUCCCCGCCCUGUCUGAAUAUACCCAUGUUUUUUGCGCACCCAUUGUUUCCUCGGCGGGCUUGCCUGCCAGUAGGACCCUUUAAACCCCUUGCAAUUGCAGUCAGCGUCGGAAAAACGUAACAGUUACAACUUUCAACAACGGAUCUC
rnacentral:misc_RNA from 1 species